rnacentral:lncRNA from 1 species
CAGCCAAUUAUUGCAGGAAUGUCCAACACUGAGAUUUUCCAGGCAGGCAUUGGACAGUUUCCUCAGUACAAUUUCUGGAAAAUGGAGCCUCAGGAGAUGGACAGUCUGGAAUGUUGUGUUAUUUUGCUCAGUGGUCACUUGAGCAAAGAAUAAGGAUAAGAACAGUUGUAAGAAUGGAAAAUGUUUCAAUUCUCCAAUCUCACACCAUAUUGUAUUCUAUUGACUAAUAUGAAAAGUAGUAUGGAUUUAAACAAGGGUCAAAAAACUUUUUCAGUAAAAGUCUGGAUGGUAAAUAUAUCCAGCUUUGUGAGCUAUGAAGAUCUUUGUCACAACUAUUCAACUCUGUCAGUAGCACAAAAGCAGCCAUAGAAAAUACAUAAAUGAUAGACAUGGCUGUGAUUCAUUAAAACUGUAUUUAAUAACACAGGUGGCAGGUCAUAUUUGGCCCAUGUACCAUAAUGUGCCAAGCCCUGCACUAAACCCUAAAUGUAGAAUAAAUCCAAACUCAGAGUGUCCAGACCCAGGAGAAGGUAGAAUUCAAUAAAAGUGACAGUAGUAGAAACCAUUAAAGAUUGUGGUCAGGUAUCAUGAGUGGGAAAGAAACAUUUUUACUAAUCUGCACAAUUCCUACUCUUACAUAUGGAAUUCAAGCCCCCGAGUGACUGCAAUGUAAAAAAAAAAAAUGUAAUCCAUUAUUUAUGAUUCAUGAGGAAGAGAAAAUAAGCUCUAACAUCCCAGGUCAAAGCUUGGCAGCCAUAUGAAUAUGUAUCAUCUAUUACUAAGUGUUCAUAAUAAAUAGCUAUAGAGAUUGAGAGGGCACCAGUCAAAACAAAGAACAGAAAAGACUGAGGCUAAUUAAAUCAUAAAGAAAAGUAAAAAUUAUGCAGAGAUUCACUAUGUUGUGAUAAAUCUAUUUCACUAAAAUUUACAAAAAGAGUUUCAACACAUGAUGGCUCAUACUUUAUAAUAGGCUCUAUUUAGUGGGAUAAACGAUGAUCCUUAUAAUUCCCUUUGUUAUUUGUGAAAAGAUCACAUUUCAAAGCACAGAAGGGGACCUCAAAGGGUUGUAUUGUUCAGCCUUUUAUCUCCAGGCAGGAUUAAUUAAGGUAAUAGCUAGCAUGUAUCUAGUGCCUACUGUGUGCCAGGCAUUUUCCACAUAAUAUCUCUCCAAUCCUCAAAUCCUUUGAAUCACAACUCUGCUGCUGACUACCUUUCUGACCCUGGUCAAUGAAAUCAAUCUCUCUAGACUGCUGUUUCUGAAUGCGAUCCUAUGGAGUCAGCUAGUCCCCACACUGUAGAACUCCGGGUAAAGAGGCCAGAGGAAAACAUGUCAUCUCUUUUUAAGAGGUUGUUUUCAGAGAUUUGAGAAACCUUAUUAACUAUUUAAGAAUAAAAUACAGGGGAAAUAUGCUAAAGCUAUUCAGAUGGUGAAAACUCAUUCAAAUGCUGUACAAAUGUUGGCAUUAAAUACAUGCCUGUCUUGGAAUGCUAUGUGAUCUUAGGCCAGUCUUUGAGACUUGACUCCUCUUUCCUACAGUGACUACCAGAGAGAGUGGGGAGAAAGAAAAAAGGAGAUAAAUAGUAUUUUCUUCUUCCUCUUCUUGGCAUAACAAGCUAUGGAAGGGCAAUGGCCAUAUUAUUGCACAUAACCUUUAAAUCUUUCCUAUCUCCUCUGGUCUUAAGUGCUCAGGAUUCUCUAAUGAGUGCCACUCAAGGGUUCAGCUCCUUUGAUAUUUCUUCUGGAACAUCACUCAAAUACCAUCUUUACUUUGUAUGUGCCUCUCCUCUCACCUAUAAUGAGGUGUUGUGUGAACUGUACCAGAGUGAUGGACAUGGGAUUAUUUACCACUUAGACAUUUGCUCUAGUUUCAUGUACUACUAGUUUCAUGUCCCUCACAUUAUGUUGCCAUGAGACAGGGACUAUGACUUCUGCUGCUUCUGAGUUCCCAGUCCUUAACUCUCUACUUGGCAAAAAGUUGGCAUUCAAGCGAAGCUUCCAUUAUGUCCUUCAUCUCUUUGAGGCCAGACAUUGUAUUAGGUGCUAGAAACAUGGUGUGGUACAGAAACAGACACAAUUCUUGCUGUCGUGGAUAGUCUUUAUAUUCCAGUGCAGGGAUGGACAUUAAUUAAUCACACAGAUGAAUUUGAAAUUCCAGUGUGACAAGUAUUAUGAGGUAGGGAUGUUAAGGACAGAAUAUGUCUCUGAUAUUCAGGAGCUUCUAGUCUAAGGCAGGUCCACAGGCAAUCCUGAGACACAGUGAUAAGUGGAGAGUAAGGAAAGCAUGGGGUGCUGUGGGAUUCCCAGGGGGAAGGUGCUGGAUGCUCUGGUGGCGAGGGAAAGCUGUCAGCUUUAGCUGACUUUUGUAAAUAUGAGAAGUACACGGAGUUGGAGAAAGGAAUUUCAGGCCUGUGGAUAUAUGCUAGAAAUCACAUGGUUUGCGUGGGGCAUUGCAGUCAUUUCAGAACUACGAGUGUAUGACCUAGAAGGAUAGAGCUGAGAAAAGAUGUUGCUAGAGAAAAAGCCAGAGAGACCAGAUCAGGGAAGGUCCCCUCCAUAUCCUGAGGUUCUGCAGAAAAGGGGAGAAUAGUAAGGACUUUUAAACAAAGAAGUGAUAAUGUAAGUUUUGAUUUUUUAGAUAAAUUACAAUGGCAACUUUAUGAAAGUUGGAUUUAAGGGUAAGGGGAAGUAGGAGGGAGAGUGUAUACUGGUGUCCCUGAGACAGAAUACUGGAUGAGGUUCCAGAAGAGCUCAGGCUUUGAAAAGAUACCAGUUGUGCAAAUUAUUUUCUAUGUGAACUUGGGUAAGGUAUUUAUUGUUCCUUUGCCUUGGUUUCCUUGUCUCUAAAAGAUAGAUAAUAGUAUCUAUCACAUAGGUUUAAUACUGAGAUUGAAUAGGUCAAUGAACAUAAAAUUCCCAGAACCAUGACUCUCGAUAAGUACUAUACAAAUGUUAAUUGUUAUUAUUCCUUUAGGAGAGAAAAUGUACUUGUUCAGGUUUGAGUAGGCUGAGAUUUCAAUGCUUGUGGGAUAUCCACGUGACAGUGACCACACCUGGUUUUGCUCACUACUGUAUCCCUCCAUACCUAACAAAGUGCCUGUUUCAUAGUAGGCACUUAGGAUAUGUAAUUUCAGACAAAUUGGUAAAUGGAUGAAUGCAUUAGAUAUAUGUGAGGCAGUUAGAUAUAUAUCUGAAACCCAUGGAGGAUCAAGGGAUGGAGGUAAUAGAUGUGGCAAUGUGGGCUAUGGAACUGACUGAGGCUUCCAAGGAAAUUCCUGUAGGAUGAGGAGAGCACAAGAUGGAAUCUUGCACAUCUCAGUUCAAGUUGCUAUAAUGUAGCAUCAUAGAUUAAGUGACUUAUAAACAACAGACAUUUAUUUCUCACAGUUCUGGAGGCUAAAGCCUGACUUCAGGAUACCAGUAUGGUCAGGUUCUGGUGAGGGUCCUCCUCCAGGUUGCAGAUUGCUGACUUCACAUUAUCUUCACAUGGCAGAAAGAGCAAGAAAGUUCUCUGGGUUCUCUCUUACAAGGGGACUAAUCCUAUUCAUGAGGGUUCCACCCUCAUGACCUAAUCACCUUCCACAGAUGCUCACUUCCAAAUACCAUCACAUUGGCAGUGGAGGGGAGGAAGUGUAGAAUUCCAACAUGUAGGAGUUCCCAUCAUGGCUCAGUGAUCAACGAAUCUAACUAGGAACCAUGAGGUUGCAGGUUCAAUCCCUGGCCUUGCUCAGUGGGUUAAGGAUCCAGUGCUGCUGUGAGCUGUGGUGUAGGUCGCAGAUGUGGCUUGGAUCCGGCGUUGCUGUGGCUAUGGUGUAGGCUGGCGGCUUCAGCUUUGAUUAGACCCCUAGCCUGGGAUCCUCCAUAUGCUGCGGGUGUGGCCCUAAAAAGAUGGAAAAAAAAAAAGAAUUCCAACAUAUGAAUUUAGGGGGAACACAAACUUUCAGUACAUAACAUUAGGGGACAGUAUUUAUGGGUCAGAGACAGCAGAAGAAAAGGAGAAUAGAGAGAGGAUCAAUAAAAAUCAGAUUAAAAAUAUGGUGAAUGUGAUAUCCAUAAGCUAAAAGAAAGUUUCUGUGAUAAAGAGAUCCACAGUAUCAAGUGCUGCAACAUCUUUCAGUUUAAGUUUGACUGUAAAUUUUCAAGCUACACUUUGCCACCCCACCCCAGCAUAUUUGAUCCCAACCUCCUCUUUGCAACCUCUGUAUAUCAUACACAUGCUUACUCCUUCCAUAUAAACUGCAUGGGUGUCUAGCUUCCUUCGCUAGAUUUUGAGCCACUUCUCUCAUCUUAUUAAUCUGAAUGUGCCUGGUAUCAAGCACAGUUCUUAUGAUAGAAAGCAGAUUGAAAUCAUCUUAAAUGAAGUGUGUUUACUUUAUGUCAAUAAACUGACUCUAGGACAUGAUUUUUUCUAAAGAAAAAAUAAAUAGGCACUAUUAUUUAUGCAUUUCCUAAUUCUCAUGAAACUGAAUGGGUAAAAGGAGGAGUCCGAAACUAAAGGGACAUAUGUUAUGCACCGUAUUGACUUUUUUUUUCACUCUUGAUUAUCCUACUUCGCUUGAGGAAAGCACUGUCCUGUUGUAAUAAGUUACAGAAGGGUUUGAUUUAAAAAUCAUGAACCCAGUGAAAACUAGCAUGUGAACAACUUAUUUGAAUUUGACAGACAAUCCAUCAAAAAGCAUUUAAUAGGUAUACUCACCAGUGACCUUUCAGACUCAAAGAAGGUAGUAUUUCUUCCCUUAGUGACAAAAUUAUACCCUAAGAAUAGCUUACUCACUGGUGGUUUCUGUUAAUAUCAUGAUUUUUCAUGCCUUGUAUUAGGUUUUUAUAUCCCUAUGGCCAGGAUCCAUGUUUUGUUGGUCUUUAUAUCCCCAUCAGCUAACACAGUAACUGACAGCUAGUAGGUUCUUGGUAAAAUUUCAUUGAAUAAAUUAUUAGCUUUAAACCACUCAUUAAGUAUGUGAAAUUAAUGUAAAAGUAAGAAAUGGUGCAAUUUUAAAUGUCAGCCUUAGUUUAGAAAACCUCCUUCACAGUAGUAUAGAAGAGAACAAGCUGUGAGGUUGUUCAGUUCAACUUU